rnacentral:rRNA from 1 species
GAUGAACGCUGGCGGCGCGCCUAACACAUGCAAGUCGAACGGCACCCCUCCUCGGAGGGAAGCGAGUGGCGAACGGCUGAGUAACACGUGGAGAACCUGCCCCCUCCCCCGGGAUAGCCGCCCGCAAGGACGGGUAAUACCGGAUACCCCGGGGUGCCGCAUGGCACCCCGGCUAAAGCCCCGACGGGAGGGGAUGGCUCCGCGGCCCCUCAGGUAGACGGCGGGGUGACGGCCCACCGUGCCGACAACGGGUAGCCGGGUUGAGAGACCGACCGGCCAGAUUGGGACUGAGACACGGCCCAGACUCCUACGGGAGGCAGCAGUGGGGAAUCUUGCGCAAUGGGGGGAACCCUGACGCAGCGACGCCGCGUGCGGGACGGAGGCCUUCGGGUCGUAAACCGCUUUCAGCAGGGAAGAGUCAAGACUGUACCUGCAGAAGAAGCCCCGGCUAACUACGUG